rnacentral:rRNA from 1 species
GACGAACGCUGGCGGCGUGCCUAAUACAUGCAAGUUGAGCGCUGAAGGUUGGUACUUGUACCAACUGGAUGAGCAGCGAACGGGUGAGUAACGCGUGGGGAAUCUGCCUUUGAGCGGGGGACAACAUUUGGAAACGAAUGCUAAUACCGCAUAAAAACUUUAAACACAAGUUUUAAGUUUGAAAGAUGCAAUUGCAUCACUCAAAGAUGAUCCCGCGUUGUAUUAGCUAGUUGGUGAGGUAAAGGCUCACCAAGGCGAUGAUACAUAGCCGACCUGAGAGGGUGAUCGGCCACAUUGGGACUGAGACACGGCCCAAACUCCUACGGGAGGCAGCAGUAGGGAAUCUUCGGCAAUGGGCGAAAGUCUGACCGAGCGACGCCGCGUGAGUGAAGAAGGUUUUCGGAUCGUAAAACUCUGUUGGUAGAGAAGAACGUUGGUGAGAGUGGAAAGCUCAUCAAGUGACGGUAACGACCCAGAAAGGGACGGCUAACUACGU